GACGAACGCUGGCGGCGUGCUUAACACAUGCAAGUCGAACGGAGCUGUUUAUUUCGGUAGAUAGCUUAGUGGCAAACGGGUGAGUAACGCGUAGGCAACCUGCCCUUAGGAUGGGGACAACGGCCCGAAAGGACCGCUAAUACCGAAUGGACUCUAACUUUCGCAUGAAAGAAAGAGGAAAGAUGGUGCAAGCCAUCGCCGAAGGAAGGGCCUGCGUCUGAUUAGCCAGUUGGUGAGGUAACGGCCCACCAAAGCAACGAUCAGUAGCCGGUCUGAGAGGAUGAACGGCCACAAUGGGACUGAGACACGGCCCAUACUCCUACGGGAGGCAGCAGUGGGGAAUCUUCCGCAAUGGGCGAAAGCCUGACGGAGCAACGCCGCGUGAGUGAAGAAGGUCUUCGGAUCGUAAAGCUCUGUUGUUGGGGACGAAAGGGAAGGGGAGGAAAUGCCCUUUUUAAGACGGUACCCGACGAGCAAGCC
rnacentral:rRNA from 1 species